CUGCUCACUGACAUAGGAUUGUUUAAGAGCCGCGGUAUUUUGACCGUGCAAAGGUAGCAUAAUCAUUAGCUUUUUGAUUGAAAGCUUGUAUGAAUGGNCGGACAAAGGAAAAGCUGUCUUUACUGUAAAAUUAGAAAUUAACCUCUAAGUGAAAAGGCUUAGAUUCUUUAGGGGGACGAUAAGACCCUAUAAAGCUUUACAUAUAAGUAGAGUUUACUUAAUUAAAAAGUAAAAGUUUAAUCUAAUUAAUGUGUUUUGUUGGGGCGACAUAAAUAUAAUUUAUAUUAACUGUUUAUAAAUUAAUACAAUAAUAAAUGAUUUUAAUGUAGUUGAUCCUUAUUAAAGAUUAAAAGACUAAGUUACUUUAGGGAUAACAGCGUUAUUUCUUUUGAGAGCUCCUAUCGAAAAAGAAGUUUGCGACCUCGAUGUUGAAUUAAAAUAUCUAAAUAAUGCAGCAGUUAUUUAC
rnacentral:rRNA from 1 species